UGACUCUCGGCAACGGAUAUCUCGGCUCUUGCAUCGAUGAAGAACGUAGCGAAAUGCGAUACUUGGUGUGAAUUGCAGAAUCCCAUGAACCAUCGAGUCUUUGAACGCAAGUUGCGCCCGAAGCCAUUAGGCCGAGGGCACGCCUGCCUGGGUGUCACACAUC
rnacentral:rRNA from 1 species